UCCUAGCAGUAAACGAUGUGCAUUUUGUCGGUGGAAGUUCGAUCUUCUGCCUGCCGAAGCGAAAGCGUUAAACGCACCACCUGGGGAGUACGAUCGCAAGAUUAAAACUCAAAGGAAUUGACGGGGGCUUGCACAAGCGGUGGAGGAUGUGGUUUAAUUUGAUGAUACGCGGAGAACCUUACCUGGGUUUGACAUUCUAGGAUUAAUUCUAUGAAAGUAGAAGGAUUUCCC
rnacentral:rRNA from 1 species